rnacentral:rRNA from 1 species
GACGAACGCUGGCGGCGUGCCUAAUACAUGCAAGUAGAACGCUGAAGGAGGAGCUUGCUUCUCUGGAUGAGUUGCGAACGGGUGAGUAACGCGUAGGGAACCUGCCCGGUAGCGGGGGAUAACUAUUGGAAACGAUAGCUAAUACCGCAUAAAAGUAGAUGUUGCAUGACAUUUGCUUAAAAGAUACAAUUUUGUCGUUACUAAAAGAACCUGCCGUGGUUUAUCUAGUUGGUGAGGUAACGGCUGACCAAGGGGACAAUACAUCGCCGACCUGAGAGGGGGGUCGGCCACACUGGGACUGAGACACGGGCCAGACUCCCACGGGGGGGAGCAAUAGGGAAUCUUCGGGCAUGGGCGGAAGUCUGGCCGAGCCACGCCGCGGGAGUGAAGAAGGGUUUCGGGUCGGAAAGCUCUGUUGUAAGGGAAGAAAGAGUGUGAGAGUGGAAAGUUCACACUGUGACGGUAUCUUACCAGAAAGGGACGGCUAACUACGUG